rnacentral:rRNA from 1 species
CCUACGGGUGGCAGCAGUGGGGAAUAUUGCACAAUGGGGGGAACCCUGAUGCAGCAAUGCCGCGUGGGUGAAGAAGCACUCAGGUGCGUAAAGCCCUGUUAGCAGGGGAGAAAAUGACAGUACCUGGACAAGAAGCCCCGGAUAACUCCGUUACAGAAGCCGCGGUAAUACGUAGGGGGCAAGCGUUAUCCGGAUUUACGGGGGGUAAAGGGAGCGCAGGUGGCUUGUCAAGUCAGAUGUGAAAACCCGGGGCCCAACCCCGAGAGUGCAUUUGAAACUGCCAUGCUGGAGUGCCGGAGAGGUAAGCGGAAUUCCUAGUGUAGCGGUGAAAUGCUUAGAUAUUAGGAGGAACACCAGUGGCGGAGGCGGCUUACUGGACGGUAACUGACACUGAGGCUCGAAAGCGUGGGGAGCAAACAGGAUUAGAUACCCGAGUAGUC